rnacentral:rRNA from 1 species
CACGUAGGGGGCGAGCGUUGUCCGGAUUUAUUGGGCGUAAAGAGCUCGUAGGCGGCUCGGUAAGUCAACUGUGAAAGCUCCGGGCUCAACUCGGAGAGGCCAGUUGAUACUGCCGUGGCUAGAGUCCGGUAGGGGAGCGUGGAAUUCCUGGUGUAGCGGUGAAAUGCGUAGAUAUCGAGAGGAACACCUGCGGCGAAGGCGGGUUGCUGGGCUGACACUGACGCUGAGGCGCGAAAGCUAGGGGAGCGAACGGG